rnacentral:rRNA from 1 species
GAUGAACGCUGGCGGCGUGCUUAACACAUGCAAGUCGAGCGAGAAGUUUUGAAAAGAUUCUUCGGAUGAAAUUUAAAAUGGAAAGCGGCGGACGGGUGAGUAACGCGUAGGCAACCUGCCCCAUACAAAGGGAUAGCAUUUGGAAACGAAUAUUAAUACCUUAUGAAACUUAACUAGUGCAUGCUAGGUAGGUCAAAGAUUUAUCGGUAUGGGAUGGGCCUGCGUCUGAUUAGCUAGUUGGUGAGGUAACGGCUCACCAAGGCGACGAUCAGUAGCCGACCUGAGAGGGUGAACGGCCACAUUGGAACUGAGACACGGUCCAAACUCCUACGGGAGGCAGCAGUGGGGAAUAUUGCACAAUGGGGGAAACCCUGAUGCAGCAACGCCGCGUGAACGAUGAAGGCCUUUGGGUCGUAAAGUUCUGUUCUAGGUGAUGAAAACUGACAGUAACCUAGGAGAAAGCCCCGGCUAACUCCGUGCCAGCAGCCGCGGUAAUACGGAGGGGGCAAGCGUUAUCCGGAAUUAUUGGGCGUAAAGGGUACGUAGGUGGCCUUUUAAGCGUAGGGUAUAAGGCAAUGGCUCAACCAUUGUUCGCCCUAUGAACUGGAAGGCUUGAGUGCAGGAGAGGAAAGCGGAAUUCCUAGUGUAGCGGUGGAAUGCAUAGAUAUUAGGAGGAACAUCAGCGGCGAAGGCGGCUUUCUGGACUGCAACUGACACUGAGGCACGAAAGCGUGGGGAGCAAACAGG